rnacentral:rRNA from 1 species
GGGUACUCGAGUGGCGAACGGGUGAGUAACACGUGGGUGAUCUGCCCUGCACUUUGGGAUAAGCCUGGGAAACUGGGUCUAAUACCGGAUAGGACCACGGUCUGCAUGGAUUGUGGUGGAAAGCUUUUGCGGUGUGGGAUGGGCCCGCGGCCUAUCAGCUUGUUGGUGAGGUUACGGCUCACCAAGGCGACGACGGGUAGCCGGCCUGAGAGGGUGUCCGGCCACACUGGGACUGAGAUACGGCCCAGACUCCUACGGGAGGCAGCAGUGGGGAAUAUUGCACAAUGGGCGCAAGCCUGAUGCAGCGACGCCGCGUGAGGGAUGACGGCCUUCGGGUUGUAAACCUCUUUCGCCAGGGACGAAGCGCAAGUGACGGUACCUGGAGAAGAAGCACCGGCCAACUACGUGCCAGCAGCCGCGGUAAUACGUAGGGUGCGAGCGUUGUCCGGAAUUACUGGGCGUAAAGAGCUCGUAGGUGGUUUGUCGCGUUGUUCGUGAAAACUCACAGCUUAACUGUGGGCGUGCGGGCGAUACGGGCAGACUGGAGUACUGCAGGGGAGACUGGAAUUCCUGGUGUAGCGGUGGAAUGCGCAGAUAUCAGGAGGAACACCGGUGGCGAAGGCGGGUCUCUGGGCAGUAACUGACGCUGAGGAGCGAAAGCGUGGGGAGCGAACAGGAUUAGAUACCCUGGUAGUCCACGCCGUAAACGGUGGGUACUAGGUGUGUGUUUCCUUCCUUGGGAUCCGUGCCGUAGCUAACGCAUUAAGUACCCCGCCUGGGGAGUACGGCCGCAAGGCUAAAACUCAAAGGAAUUGACGGGGGCCCGCACAAGCGGCGGAGCAUGUGGAUUAAUUCGAUGCAACGCGAAGAACCUUACCUGGGUUUGACAUGCACAGGACGCCGGCAGAGAUGUCGGUUCCCUUGUGGCCUGUGUGCAGGUGGUGCAUGGCUGUCGUCAGCUCGUGUCGUGAGAUGUUGGGUUAAGUCCCGCAACGAGCGCAACCCUUGUCUCAUGUUGCCAGCACGUUAUGGUGGGGACUCGUGAGAGACUGCCGGGGUCAACUCGGAGGAAGGUGGGGAUGACGUCAAGUCAUCAUGCCCCUUAUGUCCAGGGCUUCACACAUGCUACAAUGGCCGGUACAAAGGGCUGCGAUGCCGUGAGGUGGAGCGAAUCCUUUCAAAGCCGGUCUCAGUUCGGAUCGGGGUCUGCAACUCGACCCCGUGAAGUCGGAGUCGCUAGUAAUCGCAGAUCAGCAACGAUGCGGUGAAUACGUUCCCGGGCCUUGUACACACCGCCCGUCACGUCAUGAAAGUCGGUAACACCCGAAGCCGG